rnacentral:rRNA from 1 species
UACGAAGGGUGCAAACGUUGCUCGGAAUUAUUGGGCGUAAAGCGCACGUAGGCGGCUUGGCAAGUCGGAUGUGAAAUCCCUCGGCUCAACCAAGGAAGUGCAUCCGAAACUGCUGAGCUUGAGUACUUAAGAGGAUCGCGGAAUUCCCGGUGUAGAGGUGAAAUUCGUAGAUAUCGGGAGGAACACCAGUGGCGAAGGCGGCGAUCUGGGAAGAUACUGACGCUGAGGCGCGAAAGCUAGGGUAGCAAACGGG